AAGUCGUAACAAGGUUUCCGUAGGUGAACCUGCGGAAGGAUCAUUAACAAAUCAAACAACAUUUACUUGUUGAAACGUCAUGUCCGUUUGCUACCGUUAGGAUACCAAGUAAGAGAUAUCUCUGAACAGUAGAGGUAGCAGCGGCUAUAACAAUUAUGUCACUCUAUUGGUUUUACUUCAUUGGUGAUAACUAAAAUUACAAAUAUAUACAACUUUUAACAAUGGAUCUCUUGGCUCCUA
rnacentral:misc_RNA from 1 species